AUGUGGAAACACCACCGGGUCUUAGGAUCCGUGGCCGCCCUGCUCCUGCUACUCGCCCUCGUCCUACCGUCUAUUCAGACGCAGAAGCAGAGCGCACGAGAGAAGGCUGCCAUGGCGGCGGAACCCGCGCGGCGGUUGGCGGGAGGCAUCGUGGACUCGCUGGGGCGGGAGAACGACCCCUACAUCGUCGACCUCGCCCGCUUCGCCGUCUCCGAGCACAACAAGGAGGGCAAUACCCAGCUGGAGUUGGAGAAAGUGGUGAAGGUCAAGGAGCAAGCUGUUGCCGGCAGGCUCUACUACAUCACAAUCCAGGUCGAUGAAGGCGGGGCAAAGAAGCUGUAUGAAGCCAAGGUGUUGGAGCAGCUGUGGCUGGAUGUCAAGAAGCUCGUCGAGUUCAAGCCCGCAGAGGGCGCCUCUCCCAACGUUUAA
rnacentral:rRNA from 1 species